CUUAGAACCCUUCAAGAUUGUUUAAAAAUUGAUAUAUUAGAAAGUGUCUUUGGGAAGUAAAUUAGUGUAAAUAAAGUUUCAUCCUUGUAUUUGGAGGGAUUUAAGAUGAAUGACUGAAAAACGUAUUGCCUUUGCAGCUAUCUAAUAGUUGCCAUGGGUUUGCAAGUAGUCUGGAGCUUAAACUUCACUUUGAUGGAUGCCUAUGCACUGGCGAAGAAAAGAGUGCUCCACAAUUGAAUCCUUGUUAGCCUUUUGUAAUCGGAGAUUGGAGUUGGACGAACUGCUCGAGUGCUCGCAAGGGGAGUCAGGAACUGCAGUUGUCUUUCAUUUAUCCAAGGAGGAAGCAUAUGUAAAAUUUCUGCAGAUUAGGAGGGUUCCUCUCCAGGAACGGGAGUGCUCAAAUAAUGCUCCUGAUAUUAUUCCCCAGAUAAGAUCUAUCGCAAAAAAGGACCGUGAUGUUAUGUAGAAAGGACAAAAUCCUUUGUCUCUUUUGUCCGUGCAUAUAAGGAGCAUAAUUGCUCCUUCAUUUUCAGGUGGAAAGUCAGGGAUGGGAUAUGGUUUACUACAACAUUGAUUAUAAUAUUAUGGCCUUAUAUACCAGAGUCGUAUGUUGCCACAAAGUUGGGCGAGGAACUAUCACGACUGCUCUUUCUCUUGUGGCUGUUAGUCCGGUCGUGUUUAAUUUUCCUGAACUUAGCCAUGUAAAUUUUUAUUUCUUAGCCAUGAAUUCUAUAUAUGUAACCCACAUCAAGUAAUUAGUCGUGUUUCUUAUUAUGUAUGGAGUACUAUAUUCAUACUUUUAACUAUUUCUAUGGUAAUUAGGC